rnacentral:misc_RNA from 1 species
UGUCUGAAAAAAAUUUGUACUGUUCAGAUUCAAAUGUUUCAAAGAAUACAAGAUUUGAUAUCUUACACAUUAUACUAUGUAUAUAUCACAAAAAUUCAAACAAGAGAAAUUCCGAGAUGCAGAAUAUCAAUUUCUUAAUGCUUGUCUGAAUCCAUCAGGCCUCGCACAACUGUCUUCACAAACAUUGUCCAAUGCAUUGUUUCCUAUGCCUCAUCUUCUUCCUCAAUUUUGCAUUACCAUU